rnacentral:sRNA from 1 species
GCUGGGCACAGUGGCGCAUGUCUGUAAUCCCAGCACCUUGGGAGGCUGAGGCAGGAGGUUCGCAAAUUCAAACUUAGCCUCAGCAAAAGUGAGGCACUAAGCAACUCAGUGAGACCCUGUCUCUA